rfam:Flavobacterium micromati strain DSM 17659 genome assembly, contig: Ga0131131_118
UUUUUGCACAAGGGAUAGCAGUGAAAAUCCUUUUUAUGCGCAGGAACGGAGCAUAAAAAGAUUGUAACGAAUAGCCCGACCACGC